ensembl:lncRNA LINC00879 long intergenic non-protein coding RNA 879
GUGUCCGCCAUCUUGGGGCGACGGCCAGAAGUCCAGGGCUAGGAGCCUCAGCCGGCGGACGCCAGGAAACAGCCAAGAACUGAACCAAAAUACAAACAACAUAAACUACCACUUGAUGAGAAGAACUUCAAAGUCAAAUUGCAAAAGGUGACUAAAAAAGGGGAGUACUUUCAGCCGUUUUCAAAAUAAUCUAUGAUAUGUACUGGAAAACUUCUAAUAAUCCUUGUCAUUUUACAAAUUUAUAAAAUAAGUAUAGUGUUAUUUAUGUUGCUGCUUUAGUGCAGCAGGAAUAAAGACCAUUUCACGAUGGGAAAAACUGAACAUAUUAGUGGAAUGAUUGACUCAUGGGGUAUCAGACAUAUCAACUUUCCCACAGUUAGAUCAUCAGCAAAUGUCACUUGGAUCCCUAGCUAAAUUGUUCUUCCCAGAAAAUAGUUAUCUCCACUAUGGAAAGUAUUUUAUCAGAAGAAUUCGUAGAAGUAGAAUCUGUUUGUCUUCAGUUAAACAAAAGAAGAACCUCAUUGCUUUCCAACUGGGCCCCGGCCAUUUUCCAGUUGAAACAUCAAAUAUUUUAUUUGUGUCUUUCACUGCCAAUUAAAGGGCAACAGAAAUGGUACAGGUAAAUCAUCUUCUCUUUGGAGGUCUUUCCAAAGAAGACUUUAAUUCAAGCAUUUCCUAGAGUAUGUACCAUAAAGUCUUAUCUGCAGAUUUAGACUUGAAUAUGCAUUACAUCAUUGGAAAAUAUUAUGUCACUGAAAUUGGAAAAGGUUGAGUUAAACAAAACUAAACUAUUAACUGUAUUACAAGAUCUCUGAGAUUUUGGUUUGGUAGCUUCCAGGGGCGUCUUACGUAGUGAUGCUGUUUAGGGGCAUCUAGAGAUCAGGAACAACACUUGUUCUGCUGAUACAGAUUUGGGAAUGAAAUCUGAAAAGGCAUGAAAUAGACUGGUAGAAGGGAAAAAAUGUUAAGAAAA